CAGCCGUAAACUAUGCGCGUUAGGUGUACUGGUGACCACGAGUCACCGGGGUGCCGAAGGGAAACCGUGAAACGUGCCGCCUGGGAAGUACGGUCGCAAGGCUGAAACUUAAAAAGAAUUGGCGGGGGAGCACCACAACGGGUGGAGCCUGCGGUUUAAUUGGACUCAACGCCGGACAUCUCACCGGAUAAGACAGCUGAAUGAUUGUCAAUCUGAAGGUUUUACAUGACUAGCUGAGAGGUGGUGCAUGGCGUCAGUGACU
rnacentral:rRNA from 1 species